rnacentral:rRNA from 1 species
UGGCUAACUCCUACGGGAGGCAGCAGUGGGGAAUAUUGCACAAUGGGCGAAAGCCUGAUGCAGCGACGCCGCGUGAGGGAUGACGGCCUUCGGGUUGUAAACCUCUUUCAGCAGGGAAGAAGCCACAAGUGACGGUACCUGCAGAAGAAGCGCCGGCUAACUACGUGCCAGCAGCCGCGGUAAUACGUAGGGCGCAAGCGUUGUCCGGAAUUAUUGGGCGUAAAGAGCUCGUAGGCGGUUUGUCGCGUCUGCUGUGAAAGCCCGGGGCUUAACCCCGGGUGUGCAGUGGGUACGGGCAGACUAGAGUGCAGUAGGGGAGACUGGAAUUCCUGGUGUAGCGGUGGAAUGCGCAGAUAUCAGGAGGAACACCGAUGGCGAAGGCAGGUCUCUGGGCUGUUACUGACGCUGAGGAGCGAAAGCAUGGGGAGCGAACAGGAUUAGAAACCCGUGUAGUCCAGCUGG